rnacentral:rRNA from 1 species
UGGGGAAUAUUGCACAAUGGGCGCAAGCCUGAUGCAGCAACGCCGCGUGAGGGACGACGGCCUUCGGGUUGUAAACCUCUUUUAGUAGGGAAGAAGCGAAAGUGACGGUACCUGCAGAAAAAGCACCGGCUAACUACGUGCCAGCAGCCGCGGUAAUACGUAGGGUGCGAGCGUUGUCCGGAAUUAUUGGGCGUAAAGAGCUCGUAGGCGGUCUGUCGCGUCUGCUGUGAAAACCCGAGGCUCAACCUCGGGCCUGCAGUGGGUACGGGCAGACUAGAGUGCGGUAGGGGAGAAUGGAAUUCCUGGUGUAGCGGUGGAAUGCGCAGAUAUCAGGAGGAACACCGAUGGCGAAGGCAGUUCUCUGGGCCGUAACUGACGCUGAGGAGCGAAAGCGUGGGGAGCGAACAGGAUUAGAUACCCUGGUAGUCCACGCCGUAAACGUUGGGCGCUAGAUGUGGGGCACCAUUCCACGGUUUCCGUGUCGCAGCUAACGCAUUAAGCGCCCCGCCUGGGGCAGUACGGCCGCAAGGCUAAAA